CAAAUAAAUAAUAUGACUUCUUUUACUGUCUCGUCUUGUUGUCGCCGUCCUUGGGCCUUCUGGCUUCACGGUCAGGCGAAGAGGCAGUCGCAGUCCGUUGGCGUCGGCGCGGGGAGGGGAGGGGAGGGGAUGGAUGGUGGAGUCGCGGCCGCUGGCGGUAGUGAGGCCGCGUGCGCCAGCGCCCGCGGAGGAGGGGCACGGGCACCGGCUUGGCUCGUCUCGACCUUUCUUAGGUGAUUAAGUCGUCGUCGUCGCCCGCUCGUCAGCUCGUCUCAGGUGACCCCGGUUCGUUACCGGAGGCGGCCUCCGAAGCCCCCCGAGAGAGAAGAGGAGCGCGACAGCGACACGAGGCGCGAGCGUAGGUGCCAGGUGCCGCUCCGAGGCUCCUCCAAGACCUAGCUCCUGCUGCGGAAGACCUUCCUGCCCCGCGGCAAGGUCUAGCAGCCGCCGCUGCACGUGAUGAAGGCGUAACAGGGGCUCAUGACCUUUCUAGCGGAAAAUUCCCGAUUCCGUGAUCCGGACUUGUGUUAGGUUUGUAUACAAGGAACCUUAAACGUGCUCGGCCUUGGUGUCUCGACCCUUAAGUUCCCGAAGCGACUGUAACUUAGCAUAGAUUCUGAACGAGUUCUUAAUCUUUACGAGCAGUACGAAGCACAUCCAGGUAUAUAAACACCUCUUACCCUAAAUCCCCCUAAAGGUGGUACCAACGAGUGGUAUCUUGGUCGGGAAUUUGAUGCUAGUAGUCUGCGUUGGAUAGAAAGGAACCAUCUCUCUACCACCUCUCAGAACGAGGGUUUUCAUCGUGGUGACAAUAUGCUCUUACCUCCAGGUUAAUAGUACCACGUCUAACUUUUACUUAAACCAAGUAAACCUCUACUGUUCUUAAUGGAAGUAAUGGAACAAGUCAACCGGUCUGCUAUAGACCCCUUACUGUAACAAGACAUAUGUUGACUACCCCCGUGAUGAUUAUGGAAUUUCUUACCUCGUUAAGAAGUUCUACUACAGAAGCGACGACAACUAAAAAGUUGACCACUACUAGGUACCGGUUAUAAGUCUAAUGUCUUCUUUAUGUUGAAUGGCCCUUUUAGUCGGGGAAAUUCACGCCUUAAAAUAUGGCCUACCGAUUGUGUGACCCCACUCUCAUAACGUUGUUGUCUACGGUCGUCGUGUCGAUUUCGAGAAUUUUCAUAAGAUACGGCGUUACCAAGACGACAUGAGAUAUACCGAGUACCUCCCUGUUUAAAACCCAAAAUGUUACCUCGUUUAUGACCAGUUUGACUUAUGCUCAUAUUCCGUCUGGAAUGUAGAAUGCUAAUACUACGCGGUUAAUUCCUCGUACCUCUGCACGUAUUAGGGUUUAUGUUUCGUAACUCUUCUCAUUAUGUACUUACGUGACCGUGAGGAGACGUAGGUGAAGGACGGCUGUAACUUUCUCGUUCAAUACCCGAACACUUUAAUGUUUUCCAACGAAGAAAGAAACUGUAUAAACUAUUCUAGACACUAGGUGACUUUCACCGACAAAGUCUUGUCGGAGACAGAUACCUUGACUGUCCGGUCUACAAACCCAAAGAUGACAUACACAGCCUUAUGGUUCCUUUUCCAGGAAUGUCGUAGGAUAGUUAAGGUUUCCAUGUACUGUCUCGGGUCCACAAACACAGUACGAGUGAACUACUGCAGUCUUUAGUUUAUAUACGACCGCAAUAACUUUCUACCAGAUCAUUUUGGGAUGUCUAUGGUUGGAAUUUGACGAGAAGAUUAUAGGCGAAUAGAUAGGACCAUCUUUUAUACCCGGCACAUUUAAUACCCGGUAUGUAAAAACUAGUCUUCCCCUAUAAUAGAUGACAACUUUAUCUACCACACUGAGAGGUAGUGACCUUUUACAUGGGCAAUAGCAAGUUAAAUGACCUUUUGGAAAGCUUUAAGGUUGGUUAGGUCGUCUAGUGACUACGGUCUCGAUCGUUUCACAGGUCAGUACCACCAAGUGUUUUAUUCGAUGCACUAAACAGUAAGAUAGAUUUACCGUUUAGUCUUCUCGGUCUUAAAAUACUUCCGGUAAAGGUGUAACUGAGGUUAUCGUGCCAUUUCCUAUGUAAGUAUAGUAAGGCACCAACCUUGUUUCCCCAACGAAAACACUUGUUGAAGUUGUAGCCUUCCAAGACCGGCCAUUACCCUGGUGUCACACGAGAAAUACAAGGACGAGGUUAGGAGUCUAGACCUCUGUUGUAACAACAUUAGAAGCUUGACGUGCCAGGUUUAGGACUCGCAUGAUAGUUGAACCAUCUUCUAGGUCUAAAGUGCACGCCAGGUUUAGCUACUUUUUCUCCGGGUUCCAAGAGUUGACUUUUUGUACAUAGAUUUGUAUAAGUGUCGUUCGGUAUCAACGUAACAUAAAAGUCUUUACAUGGAGAACUGCCUAAGUCCGAACGCUCCACCGCAAAGACCCACCACAUUAUGAACUUGAAAUAAUAACAACCAAUUACUUACAACCUUUACGCUAGUUAAUCAAGGUUCUUUCUUAGCUUCACUUAAGGUGCACACUAAAUAAAACUAUUUGUCUCAAAAGCAG
rnacentral:rRNA from 1 species